CCGUUCUCAGUUCGGAUCGGAGUCUGCAACCCGACUCCGUGAAGCUGGAUUCGCUAGUAAUCGCGCAUCAGCCAUGGCGCGGUGAAUACGUUCCCGGGCCUUGUACACACCGCCCGUCAAGCCAUGGAAGCCGGGGGCGCUUGAAGUGCGUUGCCGCAAGGCGCGCCCUAGAGCGAAACCGGUGACUGGGGCUAAGUCGUAACAAGGUAUC
rnacentral:rRNA from 1 species